GACGAACGCUGGCGGCGUGCUUAACACAUGCAAGUCGAACGAUGAAGCCCAGCUUGCUGGGUGGAAGAGUAGCGAACGGGUGAGUAACACGUGAGUAACCUGCCCUUCACUCUGGGAUAAGCGCUGGAAACGGUGUCUAAUACUGGAUAUGACUCAUACCGGCAUCGGUUGUGGGUGGAAAGAUUUAUCGGUGAAGGAUGGGCUCGCGGCCUAUCAGGUAGUUGGUGAGGUAACGGCUCACCAAGCCUACGACGGGUAGCCGGCCUGAGAGGGUGACCGGCCACACUGGGACUGAGACACGGCCCAGACUCCUACGGGAGGCAGCAGUGGGGAAUAUUGCACAAUGGGCGCAAGCCUGAUGCAGCAACGCCGCGUGAGGGAUGACGGCCUUCGGGUUGUAAACCUCUUUUAGCAGGGAAGAAGCGUAAGUGACGGUACCUGCAGAAAAAGCACCGGCUAACUACGUGCCAGCAGCCGCCGUAACAC
rnacentral:rRNA from 1 species